rnacentral:rRNA from 1 species
UCCAGACUCCUACGGGAGGCAGCAGUGGGGGAUAUUGCACAAUGGGGGAAACCCUGAUGCAGCGACGCCGCGUGAGUGAAGAAGUAUUUCGGUAUGUAAAGCUCUAUCAGCAGGGAAGAAAAAAGACGGUACCUGACUAAGAAGCCCCGGCUAACUACGUGCCAGCAGCCGCGGUAAUACGUAGGGGGCAAGCGUUAUCCGGAUUUACUGGGUGUAAAGGGAGCGUAGACGGCAAUACAAGUCGGAAGUGAAAUACCCGGGCUUAACCUGGGAACUGCUUUGGAAACUGUAUGGCUGGAGUGCUGGAGAGGUAAGCGGAAUUCCUAGUGUAGCGGUGAAAUGCGUAGAUAUUAGGAGGAACACCAGUGGCGAAGGCGGCUUACUGGACAGUAACUGACGUUGAGGCUCGAAAGCGUGGGGAGCAAACAGGAUUAGAUACCCCGGUA